GAGAGGGAUCAAAGACCUGCUAACUCUUUAAUCUGACAAAUAUGCCAGCCCUCUUU
rnacentral:tRNA from 1 species